UACGGGGGGGGCAAGCGUUGUUCGGAAUUACUGGGCGUAAAGGGCUCGUAGGUGGCCUACUAAGUCAGACGUGAAAUCCCUCGGCUUAACCGGGGAACUGCGUCUGAUACUGGAUGGCUUGAGGUUGGGAGAGGGAUGCGGAAUUCCAGGUGUAGCGGUGAAAUGCGUAGAUAUCUGGAGGAACACCGGUGGCGAAGGCGGCAUCCUGGACCAAUUCUGACGCUGAGGAGCGAAAGCCAGGGGAGCAAACGGG
rnacentral:rRNA from 1 species